rnacentral:tRNA from 23 species
GCCGGAAUAGCUCAGUUGGUAGAGCAGAGGACUGAAAA